AAGGAAUGAGUUUUUAAAAAUAACUGCUUUCGAACCAGUCGUCUUAGGUCUCAACCCUAAAUUCCUAA
rnacentral:tRNA from 1 species